AAAAAAGAAUUUAUAAAUUUUACUAUUUCAUGACUAUGAAGCACUGGAGUGAAAAAAAAAUCACAAAUUCUAAGCACAGGGAACAGGAAGACUGUAAGGCAAUUGCUUAGAUAAUAAAAAGUUAUCAGGGGAAAUACUGAAUAGAUAGGGACACACACACCCCAUACU